rnacentral:rRNA from 1 species
UACGUAGGGCGCAAGCGUUGUCCGGAAUUAUUGGGCGUAAAGAGCUCAUAGGCGGUCUGUCGCGUCGGCUGUGAAAACCCGAGGCUCAACCUCGGGCCUGCAGUCGAUACGGGCAGACUAGAGUGCUGUAGGGGAGACUGGAAUUCCUGGUGUAGCGGUGAAAUGCGCAGAUAUCAGGAGGAACACCGAUGGCGAAGGCAAUCCCCUGGGCCUGCACUGACGCUCAUGCACGAAAGCGUGGGGAGCAAACAGGG